rnacentral:rRNA from 1 species
UACGGAGGGUGCAAGCGUUAUCCGGAUUUACUGGGGUUAAAGGGUGCGUAGGUGGGCAGGAAAGUCAGUGGUGAAAUCUUCAAGCUUAACUUGGAAACUGCCAUUGAUACUAUUUGUCUUGAAUUAUCUGGAGGUAAGCGGAAUAUGUCAUGUAGCGGUGAAAUGCUUAGAUAUGACAUAGAACACCCAUUGCGAAGGCAGCUUACUACGGAUAUAUUGACACUGAGGCACGAAAGCGUGGGGAUCAAACAGG